rnacentral:misc_RNA from 1 species
GAUGAAGAACGCAGCGAAAUGCGAUAAGUAAUGUGAAUUGCAGAAUUCAGUGAAUCAUCGAAUCUUUGAACGCACAUUGCGCCCCUUGGUAUUCCGAGGGGCAUGCCUGUUCGAGCGUCAUUUAAACCAAUCUAGCUUGCUAGGUCUUGGGCUUUCGCCUCUGGGCGGGCCUCAAAAUCAGUGGCGGUGCUGCCGGGCUUUAAGCGUAGUAAUCUUUCUCGCUAUAGGGUCCUGGUAGAGGCUUGCCAACAACUAUAAAUCUUUCAAAGGGUGACCUCGGAUCAGGUAGGGAUACCCGCUGAACUUAAGCAUAUCAAUAAGCGGAGGA